rnacentral:misc_RNA from 1 species
AAGUCGUAACAAGGUUUCCGUAGGUGAACCUGCGGAAGGAUCAUUAAUGAAUUUUGGAGUUCUACUGUGCCUGCCGUUCAUUCGGAUGUGUGCACGUAGUCUCUAUAAAUCCUUAUCAACACCUGUGCACCUUUAAAAAGGGGGGGAGUUUUGAUUGAGCAUAUUUUAUUAUGCUUAUGACGAAUAACCUCUUUUUUUUCUUAUACAAACUCUUUAAUGUCUAUUAGAAUGUUCUCUGGCCGCAAGGCUAUAAAAUAUAAACAACUUUUAACAACGGAUCUCUUGGCUCUC